GGGGCGGUGGCACAGUGGUAGCGCGCAAGAUUGCAAUUAUCUGAUUCGUCAGCCAAAUAUUGCAACCAUCUUAAGGUCGCCGGUUCGAUCCCGGCCCGUCCCU
rfam:Aspergillus nomius NRRL 13137 contig00080, whole genome shotgun sequence.